rnacentral:rRNA from 1 species
UACGAAGGGUGCAAACGUUGCUCGGAAUUAUUGGGCGUAAAGCGCACGUAGGCGGCUUUGCAAGUCCCAUGUGAAAGCCCACGGCUUAACCGUGGAAGUGCAUGGGAAACUGCAGAGCUUGAGUACUUAAGAGGAUCGCGGAAUUCCCGGUGUAGAGGUGAAAUUCGUAGAUAUCGGGAGGAACACCAGUGGCGAAGGCGGCGAUCUGGGAAGAUACUGACGCUGAUGCGCGAAAGCUAGGGGAGCGAACGGG